rnacentral:rRNA from 1 species
UACGAAGGGGGGCUAGCGUUGCUCGGAAUCACUGGGCGUAAAGGGUGCGUAGGCGGGUCUUUUAAGUCAGGGGUGAAAUCCUGGAGCUCAACCCAUAGCCUGCAUUAGAAACUGUCGGGCUUGAGUAUGGGAGAGGUGAGUGGAAUUUCCGGUGUAGCGGUGAAAUGCGUAGAUAUCGGAAGGAACACUUGUGGCGAAAGCGGCUCACUGGACCAUAACUGACGCUGAGGCGCGAAAGCUAGGGGAGCAAACAGG